rnacentral:tRNA from 1 species
AAAUAAGAAACAAACUAUUGUAUUUAGUUUCGACCUAAAAUUUUGAUGAAACAUCCUUAUUUU